AAAAUUUGUUUUCCUUUUUUAAAAUAAAUAAAAGAAACCAUAUUUCUAAAUAGGGCGUGCAAUACAUAAUCGAACCGUAAAUUGCAUUGUUUUUUACACUUUUUGCACUCUCUGGCUUUUGAUUGAGAAUACUUUUACUGCGGCCGCCAUGCACUUUGAAGCUAGGGUUUUAGAGAUCGAACAAAGGUUUUUCUUGCAAAUCUUUAUGUGGUCAUCUCAUGGAGUAGACAAUGAGAUGCUCAAACCAACGAAGUUGAUCAUAAGAUUCUUCUGCAAAACUCAUCAACCUAUUUAGGCAAUGAUGGGUUCUUUCUUUCCCUUCUUCAUACAUUCUUAUGUUUCUUUUGUGUUUACUCUUCUAUGAUCAAUGUGAUCUUUUCUCAUCUACUCCCACGGCUUGUGUGGGAUCUUGUAAAUAGUUUGUUCUUUAAAAAUAAAAAUGUAUUACAUGCAAAUGUUUUAUUCAUGUA